GAAAAACAUGUAAGCCUCCUUACCGCCAAGAUCUGACUGAAGAGCAAGGCGUACACAGGGUUGACUCCCCCGUUGAUGGCCGCCCCAAUGGACCCAAAAAGCAUAUAAGGCCACUCAGAGUAGGCUCUGGGGCCGAGAUCUCCAGUGAUGGGAACAGAGGCUUCUGGGAUCAGAUUGGACAGCUGGGAUCGGGACCGCUGGCGGAUUGAGGCCCUGCAAACAAAACAAUGAAAAUCUUUGAGCUCGGCCGUGCUCGUAGCCAACGAUCACGUCAGCGUUUUUUAUGGUGGACAGCCGGUGAGCGAUGGAGAUGGUGGUGCGGCCCAGGCGUACCUGUGAUGAAAUCAAACCUGUGAUGGUGCAAGGAAUCAACUUCUUUCAGGAGUGUUCCAGGUGUGUACUCCUGAGCAUCCACCACCAAACCGGAGCCGUACCAGAAGGCCAGCCCAUAGCACAGAAAGAUAAUCAUCCACAUGUACCCGGUGAAGAAGCCCAUGAUGAGACCCUUCCUGAUGCCCAUGCUCUGCGCCGAGAUCAAGUUCUUGUCGUACCUGCGAAGGAAGGCGGAAAGAGCAGACACCGUCCUGAUGGAGGAGAGGACCUCGUCGGCUACGGCCCCAGCUUUGGCGUACGCCUGCAGCUCCAAGCCUGUUAGCUUAGCCACGAACUACAGGAAGAGCAGAGGGGUACAAAGGAUACAGAGAGCUGAAGAGACAUCAACUCGUUCAGCUCGAUGUCGUACUCGAUGAAGGUGUCUGUGAGCAGGCCGAACACCAGCAGCAUGAGGGGCUGGGCCGAGCCGUGCAGCACCGCGCACACGCUUCCCAUCACCAUCAUCAGCACCUCGUUGCAUGAGGCAAAGCGGAACUGGACAGACGCAAAACACAAAGGUCACAAAGACAUCAGAGCCAGAGUUACAUAGUAAAAAAUGAAUGGGAAGAGUGUUUUACCAGCUGAAAGAAGCCGACCCUUAUGGCUGGCAGCUCUGCAUUUUCUUUCCCUCUGUGAAGAAUGAAGUUCAGUCAAUUUUCACACAAAGUGAAUUACAAAGUAUCAUCAGCUUCUGUUGUUUGCUUUGACUCACUUCUCAUCCUCUUUGGAUGUUGUCAUGCUCCUGCAAAGAAACCAAAGACAUGAACAUGCAGAAAUACAGAAAACUUAAGAAAAAUACAGACACAGAACUACAGGAGUCAUACCUAAAUACAGACACAUAACUACAGGAGUCAUACCUAAAUACAGACACAGAACUACAGGAGUCAUACCUAAAUACAGACACAUAACUACAGGAGUCAUACACUAAAUACAGACACAUAACUACAGGAGUCAUACACUAAAUACAGACACAUAACUACAGGAGUCAUACACUAAAUACAGACACAUAACUACAGGAGUCAUACACUAAAUACAGACACAUAACUACAGGAGUCAUACCUAAAUACAGACACAUAACUAUAGGACUCAUACCUAAAUACAGACACAUAACUAUAGGACUCAUACCUAAAUACAGACACAGAACUACAGGAGUCAUACACUAAAUACAGACACAUAACUACAGGAGUCAUACACUAAAUACAGACACAGAACUACAACAAACUCAAUUCUCAUCUUUUUACAUUAGCAGUUUUUAUUUUUUUAUUUUUUUACUCUAAUUACUUUUUAAAAAGCUUCCCUUUUUAACAUUUCUAUGCACCAUGUUUAUGUUGCACUGCAUUGACCUCUCAGGGCCAACUUAAUGAAGCAUUAACUUGUCACAUUAACUUAAAAGGGCUAAAUUGUUUCUUUCUGGUACCAAUGUGAUUUACUGGUACAUUAAUUCACGCAUUAAAGGAUUAUGACUCAUGCAUUAGUGAACACACUGACUUGAAAGUGUAAGCUUUGAUACAGCAGUGCUUUGAAACCACAAGAUAGACGUGUUUAGGUCUACACUCACAUACAGGUACACAUGGCUGCUGUCAUUGACCUUCACGGAGAUAAUGUAUCUCUUUCUAGCUACUACAUUUCACGUGAAGAGGGUGACUGUCACGUUUGUCCAAAGCAUGUUUAAGAACUCAUUCAACUCAUCAACCCUCGAAAAUCAACACCUGAUGAAAACAAAGAACUCUGUACUUACAUGUAGGAACCAGCUGGUUCUGCAACACAAGAAUGAAACAUAUACAUUUUGAUAUUCUUUUAAGUAUAAUGACAUAUCACUGAAUCUUUUCCCAUGUAUAUUAAAUAAAGUGGAAAUUUCAACUUAA